AACCCAAUGUCACCGCCACCUUCUAUGGAUAAGACUCGUUCGAGUCCGACCCUUUUCGAAAUGAUGGCGAAUGAACCUGAAUGUAUUACGAGAUCGACAAUUAACGGACCCAUUUCGAAUGGAUGCUCAAAUCAGAAGCCGGCUUCGUUUGUACCACUGGACAAACAGGCGUUAAUGCAACAGCGACUUUUGGAUCUUUUAGCUUGUAGA
rnacentral:misc_RNA from 1 species